AAGUAUUUAGCUAUAUUUAAGUUACUAAUUUGAAAUUAGUCGAAAUUUUUAAAUAAUAAAUUAUUGUUAA
rnacentral:tRNA from 1 species